GGAACUGUCAAACCUGGAGGAAGUUUCAUGUAAACUUCCUCAUCCAAAUCACCAUGGAGAAAAGCAUUAUUGACAUCAAGCUGAAAUAGAGGCCAGUAAUUCUUGACAGCCAUAACAAUCAAGCAUUUCACAGUAGUUAUCUUAAUCACUAGAGAAAAGGUGUCAGUAAAAUCAAUCCCCUCAACUUGUGUAUCACCCAUAAUAACCAACCUUGCUUUAUACCUUUCAACAAAACCAUCAGACUUGUAUUUGAUUUUAUAAACCCACUUACAACGAAUGGGUUUCUUACCAGCAGGAAGAGGAACAAUAUCCCAAGUAUGGUUAGCCUCCAAAGCAGCAAACUCCUGUCUCAUUGCAUCCUGCCAUGCUGGGACAGAUGCAGCUUGAGAGUAAUACAUAGGUUCAGAUUCCAAAGUGGAGGAAGANNNNNNNNNNNNNNNNNNNCCAAAGUGGAGGAAGAAGAACCAGAAAAUGCAGGGAGUUGACAGACAUAAUCCUUAAGGUAGGAAGGAGGAUUAUGCUGUCUAGUGGACUUUCUAGAAGUGGGAAGAGGAUGGGAAGGAGGUAACACAGGAGCAGAGAGAUCAGGAUUGAAAGAAGGAAUGGAAGAUGGACCAGUAUCAGGAAAAUCAGGUGCAGGAGAAUCAGAAUUGGAAGGAAGAACAAGAGAAUCAGGGGAAGUAAAUAUAGGAAAGUCUGAGGCAGUGAAGCCAUCAGCAGGAGUAAUAGAAGGAACAUAUGAAGAAGAAGGGUGAACAGAAGUAGGAUUAUUCUUAAAAGGAAAAUAAGAUUCAUGGAAGACAACAUCCCUUGAAACAAAACACUUCUUGGUAACCAAGUUAUACAGUUUAUAACCCUUCUUGGCAAAGGGGUAACCCAGAAACACACAGGAAUGGGCUCUAGGUUUCAGCUUGUCCCUUUGAGAGAUAGGGACAGCAGCAUAAGCAAGGCAUCCAAAUGC
rnacentral:lncRNA from 1 species